GACUCACAGCUCCACAUCAGCCCUUCACUCUCCAUUUCAGACUUCCCUUUUCCUUUUUUUUCGGCCUUCCUCGUUUAAAUGUUCCUCCGGUCCAUGCGAGGGGUUUCUUUCUAAACGCAGGCCUCUGGUGCUGAAUGAUAGACGGAAAAAGACGCGGAUCGUAUUAGAGCGCAUCCCACGACGCCUUGUUUCAUAUUAUUUGUAGCAUUAAGCAUAAAACAAUCAGGCAAAGCACAGCUACUUUUAUGCCUUUCCAUCCCAAAUGCCUAUUAAUAUCAAAUUGUUAUUUAGGGUAGGUAAAAGGGGAUGUUGCCAGACAGUGUACAGGCAUGGAUAAUUGAUGGGGUGGCUUACUCAAAAUGCAGUAUGAAACUCCUCCGCUACAGCACAGUGGGAUUGUUUCUCCACGGCUAAGGGAGCUGCAUCCAUGUCUUUGUCUUUCAGCCUCUGUAUCAGUGAGGGCUGCGACAGCAGUAAAAACAGCACACUGAGCCCUUUGGAGACUGGAAUGCCUUUCAUUAUUCUUGAGAGACCAAUUAAGGACUAGUGUUGACAUAUUCCAAAAGGGCUCCUGUCUGGGCCUUGUGCAAAGUACAAAAGAACAACAUCAUGGUUACAAACCAGUGACUCAAGGUUGCAGAGGGUAUGCAACAAAAAUGAGAAAAUGGAGUGGGAUUUUCAGGGAUCCACAAAGCAUUUAAAGGAGCCUUCCUUCUUUAUGCCACGCUGUGACUUGAACAUUGUAUCUUGCUCCUUGAAGAAAUCCAGCUCAGCUAGAGUUAGAAACUACCCAAAACAAACACAAUAGCUGAGUGGGCCAAGGACUAAAAGCACAUGCCGAGCUGAAUGAGAGCAGCAAUUUUGGUAUGAUUUGUAGCUCACACCUGCAUGCCUGUUUUAACAAGCUUUUUAAAUCAUCAGUGUAGUGUAAAACACUUAAAAUGAACUAAAUUAGAAAGUCAAAACUUGCUAAUUCACAUUAAUUAAUAGGAGACUCAUUGUGAAUUAGUAGGGUGAUUUAAAAAAGCAAAGGUACUGUGCUAGGCUGAAUGUAUUCUGUUCAUUUAGGGCCUGAUUCUGUCUAUUCUUACUCCUGUGGAUUGGUAUUUUAUUCUUUAAAUUGCCUGACUCACAGCGACUACUGCUCAAGGAAGGAUCUGACUUGCUGGUGUAGAAGAUAACAACCACUCCUGAGUAUGUUUGAUGAUGGAGCAGUGAGCCUUGAGGUUGACAGUGUAAAGCAGUGUUUGAGCUGUCAUCGAGGAAAGACAUCAUCAACAAUAACCAAUGCAGACUAGUGUAUCGAAAUGGAGCAGAAAAUUAAUUAUGUGAGAUGUUUUCAGGCUAAACAAAAAUAACCCAU